GACGAACGCUGGCGGCGUGCUUAACACAUGCAAGUCGAACGGAAAGGCCCUGCUUUUGUGGGGUGCUCGAGUGGCGAACGGGUGAGUAACACGUGAGUAACCUGCCCUUGACUUUGGGAUAACUUCAGGAAACUGGGGCUAAUACCGGAUAGGAGCUCCUGCUGCAUGGUGGGGGUUGGAAAGUUUCGGCGGUUGGGGAUGGACGCGCGGCUUAUCAGCUUGUUGGUGGGGUAGUGGCUUACCAAGGCUUUGACGGGUAGCCGGCCUGAGAGGGUGACCGGCCACAUUGGUACUGCGGUACGCCGCAGACUCCUACGGGAGGCAGCAGUGGAGAAUCUUGCGCAGUGGGCGGAAGCCUGAUGCAGCAGCGCCGCGUGCGGGAUGACGGCCUUCGGGUUGUAAACCGCUUUCGCCUGUGACGAAGCGUGAGUGACGGUACUGAGUAAAGAAGCACCGGCUAACUACGUG
rnacentral:rRNA from 1 species